rnacentral:rRNA from 1 species
UUGGAGGGCAAGUCUGGUGCCAGCAGCCGCGGUAAUUCCAGCUCCAAUAGCGUAUAUUAAAGUUGUUGCAGUUAAAAAGCUCGUAGUUGAAUUUCGGAAUCUGUCCGUCGGUCGGGCUUCACUGUCCGUACUGGUGUGAUGGGUUUCUACCUUCUGAAUAAUCGGCAUGUCAUUUAUUUGGUGCGCCGGGGAAGCAGAACUAUUACCUUGAAAAAAUUAGAGUGCUUAAAGCAGGCUAUCGCCUGAAUAGAUUAGCAUGGAAUAAUAAAAUAGGACGGCAUGGUUCUAUUUUGUUGGUUUCUAGGAUCACCGUAAUGAUUAAUAGGGAUAGUUGGGGGCAUUAGUAUUCAAUUGUCAGAGGUGAAAUUCUUGGAUUUAUUGAAGACUAACUUCUGCGAAAGCAUUUGCCAAGGAUGUUUUCAUUAAUCAAGAACGAAAGUUAGGGGAUCGAAGACGAUCAGAUACCGUCGUAGUCUUAACCAUAAACUAUGCCGACUAGGGAUCGGACGAUGUUAAUUUUUUAAUGACUCGUUCGGCGCCUUACGGGAAAC